rnacentral:rRNA from 1 species
AACCUGCCUGUAAGACUGGGAUAACUCCGGGAAACCGGGGCUAAUACCGGAUGCUUGAUUGAACCGCAUGGUUCAAUCAUAAAAGGUGGCUUUUAGCUACCACUUGCAGAUGGACCCGCGGCGCAUUAGCUAGUUGGUGAGGUAACGGCUCACCAAGGCGACGAUGCGUAGCCGACCUGAGAGGGUGAUCGGCCACACUGGGACUGAGACACGGCCCAGACUCCUGCGGGAGGCAGCAGUAGGGAAUCUUCCGCAAUGGACGAAAGUCUGACGGAGCAACGCCGCGUGAGUGAUGAAGGUUUUCGGAUCGUAAAACUCUGUUGUUAGGGAAGAACAAGUACCGUUCGAAUAGGGCGGUACCUUGACGGUACCUAACCAGAAAGCCACGGCUAACUACGUGCCAGCAGCCGCGGUAAUACGUAGGUGGCAAGCGUUGUCCGGAAUUAUUGGGCGUACAGCGCGCGCAGGCGGUUUCUUAAGUCUGAUGUGAAAGCCCCCGGCUCAACCGGGGAGGGUCAUUGGAAACUGGGGAACUUGAGUGCAGAAGAGGAGAGUGGAAUUCCACGUGUAGCGGUGAAAUGCGUAGAGAUGUGGAGGAACACCAGUGGCGAAGGCGACUCUCUGGUCCGUAACUGACGCUGAGGCGCGAAAGCGUGGGGAGCGAACAGGAUUAGAUACCCUGGUAGUCCACGCCGUAAACGAUGAGUGCUAAGUGUUAGAGGGUUUCCGCCCUUUAGUGCUGCAGCAAACGCAUUAAGCACUCCGCCUGGGGAGUACGGUCGCAAGACUGAAACUCAAAGGAAUUGACGGGGGCCCGCACAAGCGGUGGAGCAUGUGGUUUAAUUCGAAGCAACGCGAAUAACCUUACCAGGUCUUGACAUCCUCUGGCAACCCUAGAGAUAGGGCUUCCCCUUCGGGGGCAGAGUGACAGGUGGUGCAUGGUUGUCGUCAGCUCGUGUCGUGAGAUGUUGGGUUAAGUCCCGCAACGAGCGCAACCCUUGAUCUUAGUUGCCAGCAUUCAGUUGGGCACUCUAAGGUGACUGCCGGUGACAAACCGGAGGAAGGUGGGGAUGACGUCAAAUCAUCAUGCCCCUUAUGACCUGGGCUACACACGUGCUACAAUGGGCAGAACAAAGGGCAGCGAAGCCGCGAGGCUAAGCCA